GAUGGGUAUGCGUCCUAUUAGUUAGUUGGUAAGGUAACGGCUUACCAAGACUACGAUAGGUAGGGGCCCUGAGAGGGGGACCCCCCACACUGGUACUGAGACACUGCCCAGACACCUACGGGUGGCUGCAGUCGAGAAUCUUCGGCAAUGGGCGAAAGCCUGACCGAGCGAUGCCGCGUGCGGGAUGAAGGCCUUCGGGUUGUAAACCGCUGUCAGUAGGGAGGAAAUGCAUGGGGGUCAUCCCCCGUGUUUGACCUAUCUUCAGAGGAAGGACGGGCUAAGUUCGUGCCAGCAGCCGCGGUAAGACGAACCGUCCAAACGUUAUUCGGAAUUACUGGGCUUAAAGGGUGCGUAGGCGGCGCGGUUAGUCGGAUGUGAAAUCGUACAGCUCAACUGUACAACUGCGUCCGAAACUGCCGCACUUGAGGAAGGCAGAGGUGAGCGGAACUCA
rnacentral:rRNA from 1 species